rnacentral:misc_RNA from 1 species
GAAAUGCGAUAAGUAAUGUGAAUUGCAGAAUUCAGUGAAUCAUCGAAUCUUUGAACGCACCUUGCGCUCCUUGGUAUUCCUUGGAGCAUGCCUGUUUGUGUAUCAUGGAAUCUUCAAAGUAAAUCUUUUGUUAACUCAAUUGGUUUCUACUUUGGUAUUGGAGGUCUUUGCAGCUUCACACCUGCUCCUCUUUGUUCAUUAGCUGGAUCUCAGUGUUAUGCUUGGUUCCACUCGGCGUGAUAAGUUAUCUAUCGCUGAGGACACUGUAAAAGGUGGCCAAGGUAAAUGCAGAUGAACCGCUUCUAAUAGUCCAUUGACUUGGACAAUACUUUUAUGAUCUGAUCUCAAAUCAGGUAGGACUACCCGCUGAACUUAAGC